UACGAAGGGGGCUAGCGUUGCUCGGAAUCACUGGGCGUAAAGCGCACGUAGGCGGCUUUCUAAGUCAGAGGUGAAAGCCCGGGGCUCAACCCCGGAACUGCCUUUGAAACUAGGUAGCUAGAAUCUUGGAGAGGCGAGUGGAAUUCCGAGUGUAGAGGUGAAAUUCGUAGAUAUUCGGAAGAACACCAGUGGCGAAGGCGACUCGCUGGACAAGUAUUGACGCUGAGGUACGAAAGCGUGGGAGCAAACAGG
rnacentral:rRNA from 1 species